AGUUUGAUCAUGGCUCAGGACGAACGCUGGCGGCGUGCCUAACACAUGCAAGUCGAACGGAGAUAUGAUUUCGGUUAUAUCUUAGUGGCGAACGGGUGAGUAACGCGUGAGCAACCUGACCUUCAGAGGGGGGAUAACACUUGGAAACAGGUGCUAAUACCGCAUAAGACCACGACCCGACAUCGGGAUGCGGUCAAAGGAGCAAUCCGCUGAGGGAGGGGCUCGCGUCCCAUUAGAUAGAUGGCGGGGUAACGGCCCACCAUGUCGACGAUGGGUAGCCGAGCUGAGAGGCUGAUCGGCCACACUGGAACUGAGACACGGUCCAGACUCCUACGGGAGGCAGCAGUGGGGAAUAUUGGGCAAUGGGCGCAAGCCUGACCCAGCAACGCCGCGUGAGGGAAGAAGGCCUUCGGGUUGUAAACCUCUGUCCUUGGUGACGAAACAAAUGACGGUAGCCAAGGAGGAAGCCCCGGCUAACUACGUG
rnacentral:rRNA from 1 species